rnacentral:rRNA from 1 species
GGAAUUUGGACGGGGACCCGCACAAGCGGUGGAGCAUGUGGUUUAAUUCGAAGCAACGCGAAGAACCUUACCAAGUCUUGACAUCCCGGUGACCGGUCGGUAAUGCGACCUUCUCUUCGGAGCAUCGGAGACAGGUGGUGCAUGGUUGUCGUCAGCUCGUGUCGUGAGAUGUUGGGUUAAGUCCCGCAACGAGCGCAACCCUUAUCUUUAGUAGCCAGCGGUUCGGCCGGGCACUCUAGAGAGACUGCCAGGGAUAACCUGGAGGAAGGUGGGGAUGACGUCAAAUCAUCAUGCCCCUUAUGACUUGGGCUACACACGUGCUACAAUGGCGUAAACAAAGGGAAGCGAAACCGUGAGGUCUAGCAAAUCUCAAAAAAAA